rnacentral:rRNA from 1 species
AUUGAACGCUGGCGGCAGGCCUAACACAUGCAAGUCGAGCGAGCGGAGGACGGGUGAGUAAUGUCUGGGAAACUGCCUGAUGGAGGGGAUAAUUACUGGAAACGGUAGCUACUACCGCAUACCAUCAGAUGUGCCCAGAGGGGAUUAGCUAGUAGGUGGGGUAACGGCUCACCUAGGCGACGAUCCCUACCUGGUCUGAGAGGAUGACCAGCCACACGGGAACUGAGACACGGUCCAGACUCCGACGGGAGGCAGCAGUGGGGAAUAUUGCACGAUGGGGGCAAGCCUGAUGCAGCCAUGCCGCGUGUGUGAAGAAGGCCUGCGGGUUGUAAAGCACUUUCAGCGGGGAGGCGUUACCCGCAGAAGAAGCACCGGCUAACCCCGUGCCAGCAGCCGCGGUAAUUC